AAUGAACGCUGGCGGCGUGCCUAACACAUGCAAGUCGUACGAGAAAGGGGCUUCGGCCCUGAGUAGAGUGGCGCACGGGUGAGUAACGCGUGGGUAAUCUACCUUUGGAUUUGGGAUAACUCUGCGAAAGUGGAGCUAAUACCGGAUAGUCUGGCUUUAAUUGAUAAGUCGGUAAAGGAUGCCUCUGCAUAUGCAUUCGUCCAAGGAUGAGCCCGCGUCUCAUUAGCUAGUUGGUAGGGUAAUGGCCUACCAAGGCAACGAUGAGUAGCUGGUCUGAGAGGCUGGUCAGCCACACUGGAACUGAAACAAGGUCCAGACUCCUACGGGAGGCAGCAGUGGGGAAUAUUGCGCAAUGGGCGAAAGCCUGACGCAGCAACGCCGUGUGAGGGAUGAAGGCUUUCGGGUCGUAAACCUCUGUCGGAAGGGAAGAACGGGUGAGGGUCUAAUAGGCCUUCAUUUUGACGGUACCUUUAGAGGAAGCACCGGCUAACUCCGUGCCAGCCGCCGCGGUAACAC
rnacentral:rRNA from 1 species